UACGUAGGGUGCAAGCGUUAAUCGGAAUUACGGGGCGUAAAGCGUGCGCAGGCGGUUUCGUAAGUCUGUCGUGAAAUCCCCGGGCUUAACCUGGGAAUGGCGAUGGAGACUGCGAGGCUAGAGUUUGGCAGAGGGGGGUAGAAUUCCACGUGUAGCAGUGAAAUGCGUAGAGAUGUGGAGGAACACCGAUGGCGAAGGCAGCCCCCUGGGUCAAAACUGACGCUCAUGCACGAAAGCGUGGGGAGCAAACAGG
rnacentral:rRNA from 1 species